AAAGCUACAAAGAGCUUACGGGGGAUGCCUUGGCGCUGAAUGCCGAAGAAGGACGUGGGACACUGCGAAAAGCCUGGGGGAGCUGUGAACGAGCGCCGAUCCCGGGAUGUCCGAAUGGGGAAACCCGGCAGAGAGGACCUCUGUCAUCAAUACAUGAACAAGAUAGUGUAUUGAAGGGAACCUGGGGAACUGAAACAUCUAAGUACCCGGAGGAAAAGAGAAGAUUCCCAAAGUAGUGGCGAGCGAAAUGGGAGAAGCCCAAACCAAGAGGGGUUGAACCCUCGAGGGGUAGUAGGAUCAGAGAGAAAGUGAAAAAAGCCUGGAGAUAGCAGAAAGGUCUGGGAAGGCCUGGCGGAGAGGGUGAGACCCCCGUACGCGAAAUUGAAGGGACACAAUCUGACACCUGAGUAGUGCCGUGCACGCUAAUACGGCAUGAAGCUGGGGAGACCACUCUCCAAGGCUAAACACAUUCAGCGACCGAUAGUGAAGAAGUACCGUGAGGGAAAGGUGAAAAGUACCCCGAACAGGGGAGUGAAAAAGAACCUGAAACCGUGAGCUUACAAGCAGUCGGAGGGCGAUGGUGGCGACACCGUGCCUGACGGCGUGCCUCUUGGAGAAUGAGCCUGCGAGUUAAUUGAUGUGGCGAGGUUAAGGGAGAGAAACCUGGAGCCGAAGCGAAAGCGAGUCUGAAUAGGGCGUAGAGUCGCAUUGAUUAGACACGAAACUGGAUGAGCUAACCAUGGGCAGGAUGAAGCGGGAAUAAGAUCUCGUGGAGGUCCGAACCUUUCAACGCUGCAAAGUUGAGGGAUGACCUGUGGUUAGGGGUGAUAUGCCAAACGAAUUCAGAGAUAGCUUGUUCUCCCCGAAAUAGUUUUAGGACUAGCGUGGACGAUGGACAACCGGAGGUAGAGCACUGAAUGGGCAAGGGGGUCAAAGACUUACCGAACCCAAAUAAACUCCGAAUGCCGGGAUGUUGAACGUCUGCAGUCGGACUGCGGGUGAUGAGAUUCGUAGUCGAGAGGGAAACAGCCCAGACCAUCGGCUAAGGUCCCGAAGUGUAUGCUAAGUGGGAAACGAUGUGGAGUUACAGAGACAACCAGGAGGUUCGCUCAGAAGCAGCAAUCCUUUAAAGAGUGCGUAAUAGCUCACUGGUCAAGUGAUUCUGCGCGGAAAACGUAACGGGGCUAAGCAUACCACCGAAGCCAUGGGCUUUGUCUGAAGAAGACAGAGCGGUAGGGGAGCGUUCUGAGAGCGGAGAAGGUACACUGGGAAGAGUAUUGGAGCGAUCAGAAGUGAGAAUGCAGGCAUGAGUAGCGAAAAACAUGUGAGAACCAUGUUCGUUGAAAAUCCAAGGUUUCCGACGUCAAGUCAAUCUGCGUCGGGUUAGUCGGGGCCUAAGGCGAGGCCGGGAGGCGUAGUCGAUGGACAACUGGUUAAUAAUCCAGUACCGAUGUUGAGGAGUGAAGGGGGGACACAAUGAGGGGGUCCAGCCUGUUAGUGGAUUCAGGUGGAUGAACGUCAGGCGAAGAAGCAGUGGAAGAAAAGACACAGCUGAGCUGAGGGAAAUCAGGAGGCGCGAGCUAGAACUGAGACGGACCUUAUUGUCAAGAAAAACCUCUAAGCGAAGAGACAACAUUGCCCGUACCGGAAACCGACACUGGUGGAUAAGUAGAGAAUACUAAAACGAACGGGAGAACUAUCGUUAAGGAACUAGGCAAAAUAGCCCCGUAACUUAGGGAGAAGGGGUGCUCACCUUUUUGAUAAAUAGGGAGGGUGAGUCGCAGUGAAAGGGCUCUAGUGACUGGUUAUCAAAACCACAGGUCUCUGCGAAGUCGAAAGACGAAGUAUAGGGGCUGACGCCUGCCCAGUGCCGGAAGGUUAAGGGGAAAGGUUAGACGGAAGUCGAAGCUCAGAACCGAAGCCCCGGUGAACGGCGGCCGUAACUAUAACGGUCCUAAGGUAGCGAAAUUCCUUGUCGGGUAAGUUCCGACCCGCACGAACGGCGUAACAACUAGAGCACUGUCUCAACGAUAGACCCGGUGAAAUUGAAAUGGCUGUGAAGAUGCGGCCUACCCGC
rnacentral:rRNA from 1 species